GACGAACGCUGGCGGCGUGCCUAAUACAUGCAAGUCGAGCGAAGUUUUUCUGGUGCUUGCACUAGAAAAACUUAGCGGCGAACGGGUGAGUAACACGUAAAGAACCUGCCUCAUAGAAUGGGACAACUAUUGGAAACGAUAGCUAAUACCGGAUAACAGUAUUUCUCGCAUGGGAGAUAUUUAAAAGUUGGUUAUGCUAACACUAUGAGAUGGCUUUGCGGUGUAUUAGCUAGUUGGUGGGGUAAAGGCCCACCAAGGCGACGAUGCAUAGCCGACCUGAGAGGGUGAUCGGCCACACUGGGACUGAGACACGGCCCAGACUCCUACGGGAGGCAGCAGUAGGGAAUCUUCCGCAAUGGGCGAAAGCCUGACGGAGCAACGCCGCGUGAGUGAAGAAGGAUUUCGGUUCGUAAAGCUCUGUUGUUAGGGAAGAAUGGAUAUGUAGUAACUAUACAUGUAAGAGACGGUACCUAACCAGAAAGCCACGGCUAACUACGUG
rnacentral:rRNA from 1 species